AUUGAACGCUGGCGGCAUGCCUUACACAUGCAAGUCGAACGGUAACAGGUCUUCGGAUGCUGACGAGUGGCGAACGGGUGAGUAAUACAUCGGAACGUGCCUAGUAGUGGGGGAUAACUACUCGAAAGAGUGGCUAAUACCGCAUGAGAUCUACGGAUGAAAGCAGGGGAUCGCAAGACCUUGUGCUACUAGAGCGGCCGAUGGCAGAUUAGGUAGUUGGUGGGAUAAAAGCUUACCAAGCCGACGAUCUGUAGCUGGUCUGAGAGGACGAUCAGGCACACUGGAACAGAGACACGGCCCAGACUCCUACGGGAGGAAGCAGUGGGGAAUUUUGGACAAUGGGCGCAAGCCUGAUCCAGCAAUGCCGCGUGCAGGAUGAAGGCCUUCGGGUUGUAAACUGCUUUUGUACGGAACGAAAAGCCCUGGGUUAAUACCCUGGGGUCAUGACGGUACCGUAAGAAUAAGCACCGGCUAACUACGUGCCAGCCGCCGCCGUAAUAC
rnacentral:rRNA from 1 species